GGUCGAGUGGCGCAAUGGUAGCGUGUGGUCCUCCUAAGACUGAGGUUGUGGGUUCGAGUCCCAUCUCGAUCG